AUCCAUGUCAACACCCUACCCCCAAUACCAUAUGUUCUUGAAAAAGGUCUUGUAGGCAGAUGAGAUGAAGAUUAACUUAUAUCAGAGUGAUGGCAAGAGCAAAGUAUGGAGGAGAGAAGGAACUGCCCAAGAUCCAAAGCAUACC